UUCGGAUUGUAAACUCCUGUUGCUCGGGACGAAAUGCUCCAACCUAAUACGUUGGAGUUUGACGGUACCGAGUGAGGAAGCCCCGGCUAACUCUGUGCCAGCAGCCGCGGUAAGACAGAGGUGCCAAGCGUUAGGCGGAAUCACUGGGCUUAAAGCGUGUGUAGGCGGACUUCUAAGUACCUUGUGAAAUCCUACGGCUUAACCGUGGAACUGCUUGGUAUACUGGUUGUCUUGAGCCACUUAGGGGCUACCGGAACAAAUGGUGGAGCGGUGAAAUGCGUAGAUAUCAUUUGGAACGCCAAUGGUGAAAACAGGUAGCUGGGAGUGUGCUGACGCUGAGACACGAAAGCCAGGGGAGCGAACGGGAUUAGAUACCCCGGUAGUCCUGGCCGUAAACGAUGUCCACUAGAUCGUAGCAGCUCUGACGUUGUUAUGGUCGAAGCAAAAGUGCUAAGUGGACCGCCUGGGAAGUACGGUCGCAAGGCUAAAACUCAAAGGAAUUGACGGGGGCUCACACAAGCGGUGGAGCAUGUGGUUCAAUUCGAAGCAACGCGCAGAACCUUACCUGGGCUUGACAUGCUAGGAUUAUCCCUAUGAAAGUAGGGUAGGCCCUUCGGGGUACAACUAGUACAGGUGCUGCAUGGCUGUCGUCAGCUCGUGUCGUGAGAUGUCGGGUUAAGUCCCUUAACGAGCGAAACC
rnacentral:rRNA from 1 species